UUCUCAAUAGGAAUGUGAGCUCUUCUCCCUAGUAUAUUUAUAUUCCCAGUAUUUAGCCAAAUGCUUUACACACAGUUGUUAAAUUUUUCUAUUGCAUUCCAUUUUCAUUAAUAAUCUUGUUAAAAUUAAAAUAUGGCUUAAAAACUGUAAAUACUUUCAUGUAUGACCCUUUUCUUUCUGUUUAUGUAUAUGGAAGCUUUUUUCCUUGACAGUAAGUUUAAAAAUAGGAAAUAUUCAUUUCCCCAAGAAACAUGUCUCCAAUUUUUUAAUAAAAGCCCAUGGAAAAAUAAGAUUUGGUAUAUAAAAAUUCACUUCACAAGCAAUUUUAAAAGUGUUAACCCCAAGAUAACUUCUUAAAAAUAUAUACAUGCAUAUUUAAGGAUGUAGCAAAUCUUUUAAAAAGCACAUAUUUGAAAGUCACUGCAGAAUACAUUUUUAACAUUCCCAGUCAGACCACUCAAAAUAAGUUACAGAAGAUUAAUAAAAAGUUUGCUGGGGUUAUAUUUUACAUUUUACAUUUACUAACACAAUCCCUAGACUGAAGCUAAGCUUCACUCAAAUUCUAUUUUCCUAAUAAUGGGCAGAAGGCAGACAUUUUAAUAUUUCUUGAGUUGUUUGGGGUUUAAAGCCCUUUUUGGGGACCUGGGGUUUUUAGAAAUGGUCAGAUUAUCCUGGGCUAUGGAGAAGGUAGGUGCCUGCAUUCAAAACCCAGCACAGGUCUAAGUAUCUGGCAGGUAGGGGAGGAAGAGCUCUGGGGAGCUGGGACUGAGCUUGGAGAGAGAUUAGACAUCCCUACCUGGGAAGGAAGACCAGGACCAGGGACGGUGUGAGAGAGUGCACGAGGUCUGUGUGAAGGGGAGUGGUCAGAGAUCCAAGCAGCCCAGCCCUGUGCCAGCAGACAGAAGCCAUAAGAGGCCACCGUGUAGCAUACAGCCCAGUCCAUGGGACCAGCAAUCACCAGCCUCCUCCUCUGGGGUCACCAUUCCCCUGAGGCUUGGUCCUGGGGCCAAGGCCAGUCAAGGAAGCGUCCUGACUGACAAAAGUUGGUACCUGCCUUUCAGGUAGGAGCCAGAGCCAGAAAGGAAGGGCUUUCUCUCCAGGAAGGAAUCUUGCCUGAAGUCUACCCACUCCAGCUCAGUUCAACAGUAAUGGAAGCCCUUAAGAGAAUAUACUUAACAAAAUACACAGCAAAACAGGACCUGAGUAUCCCGCAAAAUGUGGCUUCAGGAGUCUACGGCAGAUAAUAGAAUUCAAGAAGCCCUGAUCUAAAGGAUAAAAGACCUUAUGAUAUUGAAUGUAACAGACCCGGACAGGCUGGAGGAGGCUAUUAUAUUGUUUAAUAAAAAGUGCUGUUUUUAGAUUACACAUUUGUGUACUUUGUCUCACGUCAAAGGUCAAGCAUUCCGAGCAUCCCCAUUUCUCGUUAGCCUACAAAUGGCAUCCCAGGGCUGAUUUGGAAACAUAAAUUACAUGCCUAGUAAUUCAUCGUGUGAAGAAUUAAAUUGUUCUUUUAACUUUUUUUAACCUCGUGUACUUUAUACAACAGCUGUGCUCUUUUAAAAAAGUGACGCAGUAAUGGAGUUGUACUUUUCCUUGUAGUAGACUUAAACGUGCUAACUUAGGAGAGGGUCUAUAUUCUCUUUGAAUGGACCUUCCGUAGCCCGUGUCUCCUAAUUUGUUUUUUCUUUCCUUCUUCCCCCACCACAUACACACCCCCUCCCAGGCACUCAACUCCACAAAUCCAGGCCCAGUGUGACCUGACCCCUUUUGAAAAGCAAAUCAUUUUUUUUCUUUUGCAAAGGAAAGAACUCCCCCACUUCACCCCCACCUUCUCCCCUCCCACUUUAUCUCUCCGGCCGUCUGGCAUUUGGGAUUUUCUACAGCCACCACCCUCCUCACCCCUCCCCCUCCAGCCCCGCACAUGGCCCCGGGACUUUCUGUUUCCAAGCUGGGAGAAGGCGUCCUUGUAAUUUUUAUUUUUAUUUCUUAAAAAAAAAAAAAAAAAAAAAAACCAAUCUCCUCACCUGGAACUGCCAAGAUGAAGCAGACAUUAUCUAACACAAUGUCCAUUAUAAAUCAGUAACCAAGAAGUAGCCGGUUAUGUUAUGUUCCCUUCCCUGCUUUCUUUAGUGACCUUGCAUUGUUGAUAUGAGACGGGCUGAGUGUGAAUCAGCCAGCCAGCCGCUACAAAAGAGCUCAGAAAUACUCGGGCCGGGCUUUCACUACGGGAGGGCGGGACUUGAGCGUCUUGUUUUCUACUAAGUCUGGGCGCAGCUCUACAAGACUACUCCUCCCCCACUCCCUCUCCCUCUCCCUUCCUCCCUUCCCUGCUGUAGCCCAUGGCUCCUAAAUUUUUCUGCCCCUCCCUCUACCCAUCUCUCCCGCCCCCCCUCCCUCUGGUAGCCGGUGGCCCCUAAUUUUUUAUGGCCCUUCCCCCUCUUUUUCCCAGUCCCUCUUCCUUUCUCUCUCCUUUUCCCCAGCCUCCCUUCCCCCUCUGAACCUCCAGUCCUUCCAGCCCGCCUGCCUGUUUGCUUUUUAAGAUCGGGAUAACCCAAUUUGAGGGGCUGAUAAAAAGUGAAUUAUCAUUAAAAAACAGAGCAGGGAAAUAGGUUUACCAAGAGGCACACCAAACCAAAAAAAAGUAACUCCAGGAAGUUAAAGACACAUACACAAUACAGCAAAACAAAAAACCAAGGGAUCAUAAUCUUAUUUUUAAAUCUUUUCUUUUGGUUUUCUUAAAAAAAAAAUAAAGAUUUUGUAGUUUUCCAUGCUAAGACCAGAAACAUCAAAGGAAAUUGGUAAAUUUUAAAAUAGAAAGGAAGAAAAGAGGGGGGGGGAGAAUCCUCCCCACCACCCCCCCCUCCCGGAAAUCUGCCCGAGAGACGCCGGCAGCAGCCACAGCAGCUGCAGCGGUAGCAGGAGCACAUGGAGAGCCCUCCCCUGCAAGCGAGUGUGCGCCGCAGUCCCAGGCGCAGCCAUCUAACAAACCAAGGAAGUUCAGAAUGUGCCACGUGAGGCCGGCCUUUCUCGGGUUACAACCAUCUGAGCGCAAAGUUUCUCAAACAAAACCAUUGGCUGUUCCGACAGGCCCCGGCCCUGUCUGGGCAUUACAAGCGCUGCAUUCAGAGCGCGCUGUCUGGAAAACGGCCGGGCCCCGGAGUUACUUAGUGCCACCCAGUGUUGGCAGGGAGAAGGGAGGUUAAGUGCCGUCGGCGAGCGCUGGCUCAGUUCAACCCAGGAAAAACAGAAUCGAGCUGUUGCUUACUGGGUCAAGGGUCAGUCGUUUGUGUGAACUAUUAUUUCAUGGAAGCUAACGCGAUGUUAAGAAAUAAAACGCCCAGUGCCACUUUCUGCCCAGCUAGGUGCGUUCUCGCCAGUCUUUCUUAAGUUCCUAACAGAAAACAACGACUUAUUUAUCGUGCUGAUCUUUAAGCGGAGUUCCCCGGAGGGCUGUGAUCAGCUCCGUUGGUGUGCGCGCUGGCUUGAUGGGAGGGUCAGUACUCUCCUCCCUUUUCCCCUCCCAUCUCCGUAGUAUCCUUCAUUUUGACAUUCACAGAUCUGCACAGAACACUAUAAAGAUUGUAGUUACAUGUCGGAGAAGUCUGGGGGAAGUCCUAGACGCCAUUCUUCUCCCAGAAUGAGUCUCUUAGCCAGAAGGAACCAACUCCUCUUCAGUUGGAAAACGCCCACUGGUUGUGUAAAAAACUAAAGACAGGACUAUCACUGGAGAGGAAGGUCCUUUAAGACCCAGUGUGUUUGUUUAAAAUGUAAGACCAGAGGGGGAGGAGGGAAGGAGCGGUGGCGUGUCAGUCUGUCUGUUUCAAGCCUAGAUUAGGUGGGAGGGAAGGAAGAUUACCCGGGACUUGUUUUGUGACCUUGAGCUAGACAUUUCACUUCUCACCCUCGGUUUUUCUCCUUUGUAAAAUGGAGUAUGGGACCGGUAUAAAAUGGAGCGUGGGACCAAGUGAACAAGACAGACUUUCGAGAGUGGGAGUCUGGGGACCCAGGAGGAGGAAGUCCCGGAUGCGAGUGAAUGGAUGCUCCUAAGUGGGGGAGCAAAGGCACCAUACAAAUUGUGACCAAUGCACUUGGGAUCUUUUGUUCCUCCCUUGUUCCGGAGACCCAGCAGAAGCAAUGGGAGAUCAGAAAUAAGCGUUGGACAGUCCAGCUUGAACAGAUGAACAGAAGUGAUUGUCAGAAAUUCUUGCUGCUUCCCUUAUCUUGCAGGGUAUAUUUAAGGGGGAGAGCUCUAUGGUGGGGACAGUACAGAAGGGUGGAGCAGGGGGAAAGCGCCCAGGAAGACACAUGCCCCUUUCUUCUCCAGGUGGCAUUUCCUAGGAAGCGCUAAGAGAUGGGGAGUGAGGGAUUCGAGCACCGUCCUUUAGUCUUUGGUCAGGACUCUGCACCAAACUCUCACUCCCCUUCAUCCCAGAGACCUGCUCCU